AGCGAACGCUGGCGGCAGGCCUAACACAUGCAAGUCGAACGAACCUUUCGGGGUUAGUGGCGGACGGGUGAGUAACACGUGGGAACGUGCCUUUAGGUUCGGAAUAACUCAGGGAAACUUGUGCUAAUACCGAAUGUGCCCUUCGGGGGAAAGAUUAAUCGCCUUUAGAGCGGCCCGCGUCUGAUUAGCUAGUUGGUUGAGGUAAUGGCUCACCAAGGCGACGAUCAGUAGCUGGUCUGAGAGGAUGAUCAGCCACAUUGGGACUGAGACACGGCCCAAACUCCUACGGGAGGCAGCAGUGGGGAAUCUUGCGCAAUGGGCGAAAGCCUGACGCAGCCAUGCCGCGUGAAUGAUGAAGGUCUUAGGAUUGUAAAAUUCUUUCACCGGGGACGAUAAUGACGGUACCCGGAGAAGAAGCCCCGGCUACCUUCGU
rnacentral:rRNA from 1 species